rnacentral:other from 1 species
GCAAUUCAUUUAAAAGGUUACAGCCAAUGUUAUAGGAAUAUGUUAAAUUCGAGAAAAAGAAGAAACAGAAACUAAUGGGGUUUAUUUAUCGCUUUUUCCAAUCAAGUGCACCACACUUUUCGUGAUUAUACCAAGAGAAGGUACAGAACAUG